rnacentral:sRNA from 1 species
UAUUCUGCCCUACGGGGAAGGAUGAGAAGCUUCGACUAAGGUUCGACUCGAGCGUAGCGAGAGAACGUUGCCGCAGGCAACGGCCCGAAGGGCGAGGAGCGAUAGCGACGAGUUAUCCUUCCCCCUCUAUUC